GGCGGCGUAGCUUAGCUGGUUAGAGCGGCCGGUUCAUACCCGGCAGGUCAUAGAUUCGAAUUCUAUCGCCGCCACCA
rnacentral:tRNA from 1 species